AACGAACGCUGGCGGCAUGCCUAACACAUGCAAGUCGAACGAGACCUUCGGGUCUAGUGGCGCACGGGUGCGUAACGCGUGGGAACCUGCCCUUAGGUUCGGAAUAACUCCCCGAAAGGGGUGCUAAUACCGGAUAAUGUCUUCGGACCAAAGAUUUAUCGCCUUUGGAUGGGCCCGCGUUGGAUUAGCUAGUUGGUAGGGUAAAAGCCUACCAAGGCGACGAUCCAUAGCUGGUCUGAGAGGAUGAUCAGCCACACUGGGACUGAGACACGGCCCAGAAUCCUAAGGGAGGCAGGAGUGGGGGAUAUUGGAACAUGGGGGAAAGGCUGAUCCAGGAAUGGCGGGUGAGUGAUGAAGGGCUUAAGGUUGGAAAGCUCUUUUACCCGGGAUGAUAAUGACAGUACCGGGAGAAUAAGCUCCGGCUAACUCCGUG
rnacentral:rRNA from 1 species